CCCGCCGUCAUCUCCCCAUUCCUCGCCUUCCCAGCCCCAAUAAUAUAACCGGAGCGACGUCAAAUUCCUUCUCGCCUCGAACCAAAGCUCUCUCCUUUCUCCUGCCGUUCCUCCUGGAUUCCUCCACGGUCGUAAACCCAACUCCCCCUCCCCCUCUUUGAGGAUUUUAGAUCCCUCCAUGGCUCUCUCCCCUGUCGAUCUCCUGAAGGCGUUCUGGCUUAAUGAAGUCUAGAGAUAUUUCAGCCGGAAGUAUGCAGCUCCCUGGAGAUUCAUUUUGCUGCUUCACAUCAUUUGUCUCUUCAAUAGGAUUUUAUCUGUGAAAUGUUUUCAGAUAUGCUGGAAAUGUAGUAGCCUCUUGACCAUAAGUUCAUCUAUAAUCAAGUCAGUAUUGCAGUCAUGGACCGGGCAGACACAUCCGGCUUUGUCAGUGGGGGAGGCUGUUGUGAAUCAAGAUUUGUUACUUAUCUCGAUUUUAUAUAUUUAUCAGCAAACUAGUUUCUCAUUCUGUGAUGAAGUUUUAAUAAUUCACUGUUAGUAGAUUGGAGGCAUCUUCUGGGUCCAACCGCUUUCCAAAUCCACCAUAAUUGAUUUCUCCUGCAUGCUAUAGUAUCAAGCAGAAUGGAUCUUAACAUGACAGAGGUCUUCUUGCAUGGAAAGGAAUCUUUGAUGAGUGGUUCAGUCAUACAAACAGCUCACAUCUCCACUUGUGGCAAGAAUGACAACUUGGGUGAUACCGCAUUAUGCCUUGACUGCCUCGGCAAUGGAAUUAACAACACCAAUAGAACAGUCCAUACUCAGAUCAGUUGCGAUCUUUCUUCUCAGGAUGAUGGAUGUAAGCUGGUCCUUGGACUAGGUCCAACUCCAAAUACCUACUGUGCUGAUCAUCAUCCAUCUGGGAUUCAUAAAACCAGACCAUCUAUGAGCUUGCUUGCCCAGCAUUCUUCAGGACCUGAUGCGGCAAUGUUAAAGCUGGGCCUUUCAGGAGGGAAUUUGGAAACGAUCGUAGCCCUGCCCCAGAACAAUCACAAGACCCACUCACCUCCUGCCAAAAGAAGCCUACCCGUUCCAAUUGUUGAUGAGGGAUCAACUUCAGCCAAGAGGAGAUCAGGUGGAUAUAUGCCUUUUCUGCUCUUUGCUCCAAGGCUGGACAGUCUUGAUAGAAUGAGAAUUGCACCAGAAACUAGAGAUCUAUUAGACCAAGGAAGUGGUGGGAGUACCCGUAAACAUCACAUUCCUCAUCACCAGCUUCAGUUGAGCCCUGAGCCUUCUGUCACAACUGAUGGUUCACUGGGUGCAAUCUCUGAGGCCAUGAUUGCUGCCGCUGCCACCACCGAUAUGAGGACUCAUCACCAGCAUCCUAAGAAGUGCAGAUUCACGGGAUGUUCCAAAGGUGCAAGGGGGGCAUCUGGACUCUGCAUAGCUCAUGGAGGUGGACAAAGGUGCCAGAAGCCAGGCUGCAACAAAGGAGCUGAGAGUCGAACAGCAUACUGCAAGGCCCAUGGUGGAGGGAGGCGGUGCCAGCAGCUUGGUUGUACCAAGAGUGCAGAGGGAAAGACAGACUUCUGCAUUGGUCAUGGUGGGGGCCGUCGGUGUGUUCAUCCAGGGUGCACCAAAGCAGCACGAGGCAAGUCUGGGCUGUGUAUCAGGCAUGGUGGAGGAAAGAGGUGCACAGUAGAGGGGUGCACCCGUAGCGCUGAGGGUCAGGCAGGCUUGUGCAUCUCCCAUGGAGGUGGUCGCCGGUGCCAGUAUCCAGGCUGCGGCAAGGGCGCGCAGGGAAGCACCAAGUUCUGCAAGGCCCAUGGUGGGGGUAGGAGGUGCAUCUUUGAAGGGUGCACCAAGGGGGCUGAGGGUAGCACUCCAUUAUGCAAGGGGCAUGGUGGGGGCAAGCGGUGCCUCUUUGAGGGUGGUGGUGUCUGCCCAAAGAGUGUCCAUGGCGGCACUAAUUUCUGCGUGGCCCAUGGUGGGGGGAAGCGAUGCACUGUGCCAGGAUGCACCAAGAGUGCCCGUGGGCGCACUGAUUGCUGUGUCAGGCAUGGUGGAGGGAAGCGCUGCAAGUUUGACGGAUGUGGGAAGAGUGCCCAGGGGAGCACUGAUUUCUGUAAGGCCCAUGGUGGGGGGAAGCGGUGCUUGUGGAGCCAGGGGUGUGAGAAGUUUGCCAGGGGGAGGAGUGGUCUUUGUGCGGCCCAUGGGAGCUUGAUGCUCUCACCGCAAGAGUGCAAUGCAGGGAAGAGUGGGAGCAUGAUCGGGCCCGGUCUCUUCCAAGGUAUUGUCUCCACAUUUACAGCUGCGAAAAGCAGCAUCAACGAGCACUCAUCCUCAGGCAUGAGCACCAUAUCAGACUCUGUUGAGUCAGAAGAAAGCAUGGGGAGGAAGCAGCUCAUACCACCUCAGGUGUUGGUCCCGCUCUCUAUGAAAUCCCCCUCACCAUCAUCUGUGCUGAUGGAUGCAGGCAGAGAGGAAGGAGGAAGCCACCAGGACUUUGGACUUGUGGUCCCUGAGGGAAGGGUGCAUGGCGGUGGUUUGAUGACUUUGCUGGGAGGAGAUCUCAAGAAUGCUUUCGAUGGGGGGGCAAUCUGAGCUUUGUCAGAUGGAUGAUUCAAUCGUCCUAUUUGGAGGGAUGGAAGGGGAUUGAUUAGAAUCAGAUGUGCAUACUUUAGUGUGCACUGUCUUUGCCAGAAUUUUUUGAAGCUGCAUGGUUCAUCUGAUAAUCAUGGUUGAGUGUAUUCCAACAUCUGCACCGCAAUAAGUAAAUAUUUAAUUCAUGAAGUUGGUGGUGUCAAUCUGUCGAAAGAGUUUUACUUCUCGGACAAAGUAGCAGCAUUUUAUUAUAAGCUUUCAGAUGGUUCUUCCCCAACAGUGAGCUCAUUUGUGAAGGGUUCUGGUGUUGCAUCUUUGGCACAAAAGAAUGAUUGUUGUUGUUUUGCAACAUCAACCAUUUGAUUGCCUGUUGCACAACUUUCAAAGUGGAUCAAACCUCUCCCUUCCAUCUGCAACAUAAAUCAUGAAGCUGAUGUUGUACUUUGAAACUGUGCAAAAUGUGAUGAAAGAUGCAAUCUGAACCCAUUUAGGGUGAAUUACUACA